rnacentral:tRNA from 1 species
GGCGAGGGGAGCAGUCUGGCAGCGCGUCGAGCACAUAGCCGAUGGUCGCAGGUUCGAAUCCCGCCCCCGCUACCA